rnacentral:rRNA from 1 species
AUUGAACGCUGGCGGCAGGCCUAACACAUGCAAGUCGAACGGUAGCAGAACUAGCUUGCUAGUUGCUGACGAGUGGCGAACGGGUGAGUAACGCGUGGGAAUCUACCUGGUAGUGGGGGAUAACAGUCGGAAACGACUGCUAAUACCGCAUACGUCCUACGGGAGAAAGCGGGGGAUAUUCGGACCUCGUGCUAUCAGAUGAGCCCGCGACGGAGUAGCUAGUUGGUGGGGUAAGGGCCUACCAAGGCGACGAUCCGUAGCUGGUCUGAGAGGAUGAUCAGCCACUGAACUGAGACACGGUCCAGACUCCUACGGGAGGCAGCAGUGGGGAAUAUUGGACAAUGGGCGCAAGCCUGAUCCAGCCAUGCCGCGUGUGUGAAGAAGGCCCUAGGGUUGUAAAGCACUUUCAGCAGGGAGGAAAGGAUGUACGUUAAUACCGUGCAUCUGUGACGUUACCUGCAGAAGAAGCACCGGCUAACUCCGUGCCAGCCGCCGCCGUAA